rnacentral:rRNA from 1 species
AUUGAACGCUGGCGGCAUGCCUUACACAUGCAAGUCGAACGGCAGCACGGGAGCAAUCCUGGUGGCGAGUGGCGGACGGGUGAGUAAAGUAUCGGAACGUGCCCAGUCGUGGGGGAUAACGUAGCGAAAGUUACGCUAAUACCGCAUACGAUCUAUGGAUGAAAGCGGGGGAUCGCAAGACCUCGCGCGAUUGGAGCGGCCGGUAUCAGAUUAGGUAGUUGGCGGGGUAAAGGCUCACCAAGCCGACGAUCUGUAGCUGGUCUGAGAGGACGCCCAGCCACACUGGGACUGAGACGCGGCGCAGACUCCUACGGGAGGCAGCAGUGGGGAAUUUUGGACAAUGGCGAAAGCCUGAUCCAGCCAUGCCGCGUGCAGGAUGAAGGCCUUCGGGUUGUAAACUGCUUUUGUACGGAACGAAAAGGUUUGGCCUAAUAAGCUGAGCUCAUGACGGUACCGUAAGAAUAAACGCCGGCUAACUACGUGCCAGCCGCCGCGGUAA